rnacentral:rRNA from 1 species
GACGUAGGGCGCGAGCGUUGUCCGGAUUUAUUGGGCGUAAAGAGCUCGUAGGCGGCUUGUCGCGUCGUCCGUGAAAACCCACAGCUCAACUGUGGGCUUGCGGUCGAUACGGGCAGGCUAGAGUUCGGUAGGGGAGACUGGAAUUCCUGGUGUAGCGGUGAAAUGCGCAGAUAUCAGGAGGAACACCGGUGGCGAAGGCGGGUCUCUGGGCCGAUACUGACGCUGAGGAGAGAAAGCGUGGGGAGCGAACAGG